CCUAAACAAAACUAUCCGCCAGAGAACUACUAGCAAUAGCUUAAAACUCAAAGGACUUGGCGGUGCUUUACAUCCCUCUAGAGGAGCCUGUUCUAUAAUCGAUAAACCCCGAUAUACCUCACCAUCUCUUGCUAAUUCAGCCUAUAUACCGCCAUCUUCAGCAAACCCUAAAAAGGAAGAAAAGUAAGCACAAGUAUCUUAACAUAAAAAAGUUAGGUCAAGGUGUAGCUCAUGAGAUGGGAAGCAAUGGGCUACAUUUUCUAAAAUUAGAACACCCACGAAGAUCCUUACGAAACUAAGUAUUAAAGGAGGAUUUAGUAGUAAAUUUGAGAAUAGAGAGCUCAAUUGAAUCGGGCCAUGAAGCACGCACACACCGCCCGUC
rnacentral:rRNA from 1 species